rnacentral:rRNA from 1 species
GGCAUGCCUAAUACAUGCAAGUCGAGCGGACUUGAUGAGAAGCUUGCUUCUCUGAUAGUUAGCGGCGGACGGGUGAGUAACACGUAGGCAACCUGCCCUCAAGUUUGGGACAACUACCGGAAACGGUAGCUAAUACCGAAUAGUUGUUUUUUUCGCCUGGAGAGAACUGGAAAGACGGAGCAAUCUGUCACUUGGGGAUGGGCCUGCGGCGCAUUAGCUAGUUGGUGGGGUAACGGCUCACCAAGGCGACGAUGCGUAGCCGACCUGAGAGGGUGAUCGGCCACACUGGGACUGAGACACGGCCCAGACUCCUACGGGAGGCAGCAGUAGGGAAUCUUCCGCAAUGGGCGAAAGCCUGACGGAGCAAUGCCGCGUGAGUGAUGAAGGUUUUCGGAUCGUAAAGCUCUGUUGCCAGGGAAGAACGCUUGGGAGAGUAACUGCUCUCAAGGUGACGGUACCUGAGGAAUCAGCAUCGGCUAACUCCGUGCCAGCAGCCGCGGUAAUACGGAGGAUGCAAGCGUUAUCCGGAAUUAUUGGGCGUAAAGCGUCCGCAGGCGGCUAGAUAAGUCUGCUUUCAAAGAGUGGGGCUCAACCCCAUAGGGGGAGUGGAAACUGUUUAGCUAGAGUAUGGUAGGGGCAGAGGGAAUUCCCAGUGUAGCGGUGAAAUGCGUAGAUAUUGGGAAGAACACCAGUGGCGAAGGCGCUCUGCUGGACCGAGACUGACGCUGAGGGACGAAAGCUAGGGGAGCGAAAGGGAUUAGAUACCCCUGUAGUCCUAGCUGUAAAUGAUGGACACUAGGUGUUGCGCGUAUCGACCCGUGCAGUGCCGUAGCUAACGCGUUAAGUGUCCCGCCUGGGGAGUACGCACGCAAGUGUGAAACUCAAAGGAAUUGACGGGGGCCCGCACAAGCGGUGGAGUAUGUGGUUUAAUUCGAUGCAACGCGAAGAACCUUACCAGGGUUUGACAUCCCUCGAAUCUCGGCGAAAGUUGAGAGUGCCUUCGGGAGCGAGGAGACAGGUGGUGCAUGGCUGUCGUCAGCUCGUGUCGUGAGAUGUUGGGUUAAGUCCCGCAACGGGCGCAACCCACGUUUUCAGUUGCCAGCAUUAAGUUGGGGACUCUGGAGAGACUGCCGGUGACAAACCGGAGGAAGGUGUGGACGACGUCAAGUCAUCAUGCCCCUUACAUCCUGGGCUACACACGUACUACAAUGGUUAGGACAAAGGGCAGCGAAGCCGCGAGGUGGAGCAAAACUCAUAAACCUAGCCUCAGUUCAGAUUGCAGGCUGCAACUCGCCUGCAUGAAGGAGGAAUCGCUAGUAAUCGCAGGUCAGCAUACUGCGGUGAAUACGUUCCCGGGCCUUGUACACACCGCCCGUCACACCAUGGGAGUUGGCCACGCCCGAAGUCGUUACCCUAACCGUUCGCGGAGGGGGACGCCGAAGGUGGGGCUGAUGACUGGGGUGAAGUCGUAACAAGGUAGCCGUACCGGAAGGUGUGGCUGGAUCACCUCCUUAAGGGAGACCUUACCCACUUUCAGCCGAAAGCACAAAGCGAUUAAGCGAGAGACUGGUCAACCGAGGUCGUUCGAGGAAUUGAUGAGGCUUCCAGACUAGAGUCUAGUUCUUUCACGGACAGACGAGCCGACUUUAGUUUGGCGUAGUCUGGUCUGCAAAGGAAAGACUGUUGAUAAGGCAGUGGGCUAUUAGCUCAGGUGGUUAGAGCGCACCCCUGAUAAGGGUGAGGUCCCUGGUUCGAGUCCAGGAUGGCCCACCUUCACAGUAGAUGCACCUGCGUCCAUGUGAUGCACCAUCAGAACCUUUCAACGAACGAGCAUCUCUCAGCACCCACAAGCCAGAUUAAGUCUGCUUAGGACUGCUGAGCAAAGCUCAGCGAGAACCUUGAAAACUGCAUAACAAAAGCCAAGAAAUCGAAAGAGUCUGGUGUAGUCCAGGUUUCUGCUUUGCGGCCAAGCGGCUGAGUAAUCAGUCAUGUAACCAAGGGAGCAGGGACUUGAAGUAUUCCUAGACGUCGAGCAAAAAA